rnacentral:rRNA from 1 species
UCAUUUAAAGAAAGCGUAAUAGCUCACUGGUCGAGUCGGCCUGCGCGGAAGAUGUAACGGGGCUAAACCAUGCACCGAAGCUGCGGCAGCGACACUAUGUGUUGUUGGGUAGGGGAGCGUUCUGUAAGCCUGCGAAGGUGACCUGUGAGGGUUGCUGGAGGUAUCAGAAGUGCGAAUGCUGACAUAAGUAACGAUAAAGCGGGUGAAAAGCCCGCUCGCCGGAAGACCAAGGGUUCCUGUCCAACGUUAAUCGGGGCAGGGUGAGUCGACCCCUAAGGCGAGGCCGAAAGGCGUAGUCGAUGGGAAACAGGUUAAUAUUCCUGUACUUGGUGUUACUGCGAAGGGGGGACGGAGAAGGCUAUGUUAGCCGGGCGACGGUUGUCCCGGUUUAAGCAUGUAGGCUGGUUGUCCAGGCAAAUCCGGAUAAUCAAGGCUGAGGUGUGAUGACGAGGCACUACGGUGCUGAAGUAACAAAUGCCCUGCUUCCAGGAAAAGCCUCUAAGCAUCAGGUAACAUUAAAUCGUACCCCAAACCGACACAGGUGGUCAGGUAGAGAAUACCAAGGCGCUUGAGAGAACUCGGGUGAAGGAACUAGGCAAAAUGGUGCCGUAACUUCGGGAGAAGGCACGCUGGUGUGUAGGUGAAGUCCCUGCGGAUGGAGCUGAGACCAGUCGAAGAUACCAGCUGGCUGCAACUGUUUAUUAAAAACACAGCACUGUGCAAACACGAAAGUGGACGUAUACGGUGUGACGCCUGCCCGGUGCCGGAAGGUUAAUUGAUGGGGUUAUCCGUAAGGAGAAGCUCUUGAUCGAAGCCCCGGUAAACGGCGGCCGUAACUAUAACGGUCCUAAGGUAGCGAAAUUCCUUGUCGGGUAAGUUCCGACCUGCACGAAUGGCGUAAUGAUGGCCAGGCUGUCUCCACCCGAGACUCAGUGAAAUUGAACUCGCUGUGAAGAUGCAGUGUACCCGCGGCAAGACGGAAAGACCCCGUGAACCUUUACUAUAGCUUGACACUGAACAUUGAGCCUUGAUGUGUAGGAUAGGUGGGAGGCUUUGAAGCGUGGACGCCAGUCUGCGUGGAGCCAACCUUGAAAUACCACCCUUUAAUGUUUGAUGUUCUAACGUUGGCCCCUGACCGGGGUUGCGGACAGUGUCUGGUGGGUAGUUUGACUGGGGCGGUCUCCUCCCAAAGCGUAACGGAGGAGCACGAAGGUUAGCUAAUCCUGGUCGGACAUCAGGAGGUUAGUGCAAUGGCAUAAGCUAGCUUGACUGCGAGCGUGACGGCGCGAGCAGGUGCGAAAGCAGGUCAUAGUGAUCCGGUGGUUCUGAAUGGAAGGGCCAUCGCUCAACGGAUAAAAGGUACUCCGGGGAUAACAGGCUGAUACCGCCCAAGAGUUCAUAUCGACGGCGGUGUUUGGCACCUCGAUGUCGGCUCAUCACAUCCUGGGGCUGAAGUAGGUCCCAAGGGUAUGGCUGUUCGCCAUUUAAAGUGGUACGCGAGCUGGGUUUAGAACGUCGUGAGACAGUUCGGUCCCUAUCUGCCGUGGGCGCUGGAGAAUUGAGGGGGGCUGCUCCUAGUACGAGAGGACCGGAGUGGACGCAUCACUGGUGUUCGGGUUGUCAUGCCAAUGGCACUGCCCGGUAGCUAAAUGCGGAAGAGAUAAGUGCUGAAAGCAUCUAAGCACGAAACUUGCCCCGAGAUGAGUUCU